ensembl:snRNA
GUGUUGUAUGAAAGGAGAAGUUAUCACUUCCCUUGACAAGGAUGGAAGAGGCCCUGGGCCUGACAACACAUAUAAGGUUAGGGCAUUGCCACCUACUUGGUGGUAUCUAACCAUCAUUUUUA